GAGCUGCGCGGAGGGGGAGGGGAGCAGGGCGCGGGCAGCCAGCCUGAGCCCAGGAAAACGCGGGGCAGGAAACGUCCCAGCCCCCGCCCCAACUGUCAAACCCCGGCCUCGCCGCGGUCCUCCCGGGACACGUGUCUGCUGGGGCGCUCCCGGGCCGGCCCGGGGACUUCCUGAAACCCCCGCCUCCGGCUGCCGGAGACGCCGUAUCUAGCCCAAUUUCCAUCCCAUGGAAGUUACAGAGUACUACUUCCUGGGCAUGCCCAUGGAAAAUCAUGUCAUUUUUCCUGGUGAUGAGCUUUAUUCCAGGCCCUGGAAUUGUUGGCAUCUAGAACCAACACAGAGAAACAGGAGAGAGUUUUUGGAAGUCCCAUCGAAAGACAAAAAUUAAACAGGAAAAUUUCUGAAUGAAUACAAGAAUCAAGAAAUUAGAAAUGGAAAAGCCCUACUAGGUCAUCAAGUUCAUUCUUUGGUUCGUGGUUGAAGCAGUAUUGUUCCCACAGUCUUUUUCUCCAGAGGAAAACCAUUAUCUUACAUGGAUAAACUUGAAUAUCCAGAAGUUUUAUAUUUAAUCAUUUGCUUUUGGAAGAAUAAUUCCACCAUGGGACAAAACUUAAGGAAAAAUUAUUCCUCAUGUUCCUUGAUUUUCCUCCUUUUUCUUGACCUGGGAUUGAUUAUUCAUUGUACCCCUAUCUUCGAUUAGCAACAUAAAUAGCCUUAUUUCUUUCCUUAAUAAAGUUUGAUUUAACAAUUGA